UUACUCUGGUGUUCUUUGUCUAAUUGGAACCACACUAAACCAUCUCGAACUUAGUUGUGAAACAGUUAGAGGGGACGUAUACUGGUCGGGGGGCUGACCGGAAAAGCGUUCUUAGCGCCAGGGUG
rnacentral:rRNA from 1 species